UUCCGGUUGAUCCUGCCGGAGGUCACUGCUAUCGGGGUUCGAUUAAGCCAUGCGAGUCGAGAGGGUUCAGACCCUCGGCGGACUGCUCAGUAACACGUGGAUAAUCUGCCCUAUGGUGGAGGAUAACCCCGGGAAACUGGGGAUAAUACUCCAUAAGUCAGGAGUACUGGAAUGUCUCCUAACUGAAAGUUUCGGCGCCAUAGGAUGAAUCUGCGGCCGAUUAGGUAGUUGUUGGGGUAACGGCCCAACAAGCCCGUAAUCGGUACGGGUUGUGGGAGCAAGAGCCCGGAGAUGGAAUCUGAGACACGAUUCCAGGCCCUACGGGGCGCAGCAGGCGCGAAAACUUUACAAUGCAGGAAASUGUGAUAAGGGAACCCCGAGUGCCCGUACACGCGGGCUGUCCCGGUGUUUAAAACACAUCGGAAGAAAGGRCCGGGCAAGACCGGUGCCAGCCGCCGCGGUAAUACCGGCGGCUCGAGUGGUGACCACUUUUAUUGGGCUUAAAGCGUUCGUAGCUUGAUUUUUAAGUCUCUUGGGAAAUCUCACGGCUUAACUGUGAGGCGUCUAAGAGAUACUGGGAAUCUAGGGACCGGGAGAGGUAAGAGGUACUUCAGGGGUAGAAGUGAAAUUCUGUAAUCCUUGAGGGACCACCGAUGGCGAAGGCAUCUUACCAGAACGGCUUCGACAGUGAGGAACGAAAGCUGGGGGAGCGAACGGGAUUAGAUACCCCGGUAGUCCCAGCCGCUAAACUAUGCGCGUUAGGUGUGCCUGUAACUACGAGUUACCGGGGUGCCGAAGUGAAAACGUGAAACGUGCCGCCUGGGAAGUACGGUCGCAAGGCUGAAACUUAAAGGAAUUGGCGGGGGAGCACCACAACGGGUGGAGCCUGCGGCUUUAAUUGGAUUCAACGCCGGG
rnacentral:rRNA from 1 species